rnacentral:tRNA from 1 species
AUACUAGCCAAACGGUAAAGGCGAAGGACUUAAGUUCCUUUAUUUCCGGGUUCGAUUCCUGGGUAU